rnacentral:piRNA from 1 species
UGAGGUUAAUUGGGUUUUAAGAGGCCUUC